UGCAAGUUCAUGCUUUCAGGGCAAGGUGUGUUGUUUUUUUUUCCUCAACUGUUUUGCAGGAGUGCAAUAAAAGAUAACUAAAGAACAUCUCUUAAAUGAAACUCUUAAGUGGUUGAAAUCUGGAGAAGACUGACCUCUGGCUCAUCUUGCACAAGGAAGCCAAGCAGCCAUGCAACCAUGCAGGACUGGAACUGUUUUCUUCUUGUUGAAAAACAAAACAGUCAUGACAAAUAACUGCCCUUACAUCAUUUUGUUUCUCUGGGGACUGAUCCUGAUGCUACCCAUCCAAUUUUCAUGAAUAUUUCCUUUGAUUAAGGUAAGAAAGUUUUUCACAUCUAAAAAUCAUUUGGGGAUUUGGAGCCAU
rnacentral:lncRNA from 1 species